AGUCUGAUGCAGCGAGCCGCGUGAGGAGUAGCCUUCGGGUGUGACCUCUUUCGCUCUGGUCAAGCCGCAGCUUUGGGUUGUGGUGAGGUAGUGGGUAAAGAAGCGCCGGCUAACUACGUGCCAGCAGCCGCGGGUAAUACGUAAGGGCGCCAACGUUGUCCGGAAUUAUUGGGGCGUAAAGGGCUUGGUAGGUGGUUGGUCGCGUCUGCCGUGAAAUCCUCUGGGCUUAACUGGGGGGCGUGCGUGGGUACGGGGCUGGGCUUGAAGUGGCGGUAAGGGAGACUGGAAAUUCCUGGGUGGUAGCGGUGGAAUGGCGCAGAUAUCAGGAGGAACACCGGGUGGGCGAAGGCGGGGUCUCUGGGGCCGUUACUGACGCUGAGGAGCGAAAGCGUGGGGAGCGAACGGAUUAAAUACCCUGGUAGUCCACGCUGUAAACGUUGGGCACUAUGUGUGGGGCCACCCGUGGUUUCUGCGCGUA
rnacentral:rRNA from 1 species